CCCAUGUCACACCCUGGCCUGACCAAAAUAAUAAAGAAAACACAGAAUACUAAGACCAGGGCGUGACAACUUAAGUAUUAAUUUACACCACUGGUGACUUGUCAGGUCUAAGAAAACCCACACACACUAAUCACACACCAACAAACAGACCAGACGCAACAAACACAGCUGAGGUUUCAGUGACGACCCUGUUCCUUCCUCCAUUUUCUCUUUCAUCUCUCAGUGGAGUCAGAGCAAAGGAGGACAUUUCAUCAGGAGGAGAGAGAGGAAGAGACAUCGUGGAGGAAGAAUCAGAAUUAGUUAAAUGCAGCUCUUCCUGUUAUUCAGAGACUAAAGUAACAGAGGACAUGCAGCAAUGAAGGAACCAAACUCCUCCUGAUCCCAUAAGGUUUCAGUUUUCCAGUGAUGCAUCUGUGGGGAGUGUUACCUGGCUGUUGUCCAGCCUGUAGUCUUCCUCAAGUACAGACUCCUAAGGCACAGGGUGGCAUGUGUGAUCAUAGCAUGGUUGCUGACACUUUGCUUCCUUGUGUCAAAGGGUGCUACCCAUGGCAGCAUCAAAUUCAAUGCUGGUAUCUUCACCCCGGUUCUGUCUAUCGACAUGUUCUGCAGUGUCUUCUUACUGACGAUGAUGAGCAGGACUGGUCCAGGGGAUGGAGGGAAGGAGGGAGAGGGUGAAACAGAGGAGGGAGGUAAAAUGAUGAAGAAGAGAGCCUUCCCUUCCAUCCAGAUCAUCCUGCUGACCUUGAUGCUGAACUAAACAAAACUUAUUUGAUCUCCUUAAGUUAAAUUGUGACCCCUCUUACUUUUAAUUUCAGCGUGUUGGUUAGCUUUACUCAGCCCCUCCUCUCCAUCCGCAGGGCUUGGAAAACUGCCCUUCAUCUGGGGAUAAAGAGAAAGAUACCUACACUGUAGGGGAAAGGUUGUCUUGAAUUUAUCAAGUUACCAUUCUGUUCCAUUCCCUUUAAUCAUAUUAUUCAUGCUAUUUAGAGGUUGACAUGUGUAAUAAGUUGUUUAUGGUUAAAUUAAACCGUGUGUACAGAAGGGUAAAUGGGUUGAUUGAUGUGUGUGUGAAAUUGCCAUUCAAUUGUUGUUGUAUAGCUGUUAAUCUCUGUGAAAUUAGGGAGACAAAUUGUGAGAUUUUACUAUAACCUCAUGCUCACAGUUAUAUGCUGUUCCUGACUAUUUUGCUUGUUUUGACACAUUGUAACCCCCUAAUUACUGUAUAUGUGUAUCUGUAUCUAAAUAAUAUUUUAACUUGUUUUACAUCUUGGAUAGCAGUUGCUUCUCUAACUAUUGAGUGGUGUUCUAUAUUGAAAUGUAUUGCUGUAUGUUUUUAAAAUGAAGUGUGGAAUAAAGCAAAUCUGAUUCAACAGUU